GCAAAGCCUGGGCAGUGCAGAUGUUGCUGGUAGCCUUGUCUCUGCGGAUGUGCUGCUCUCGAGUCUGCAGGGCCAGUCUGUAUGAUUCCUUCCCAUUGGCAUCCCUGGUGGGGAGGUGAUGAGGGUGAGGAACAGCUGAAAGAAGUAGAACAAGAACAAGAACAAGAACAAGAAGAGUAGCCAAAUCAAGAAGAACAGGAAGAAAACAAGAAGAAGAACAACAGCAGCAACAACAAUAGCAAUAGUGAGAACAACAAGAACAAGAACAAUGAGAAGAAAAAAGACAAGAAAAACAAGAAAAAGCAGCCAAAACAAAAACAACAAAUACAACAACAACAUCAACAACAACAAGACCAACCAAAACCACCCCGCAAUACCUGGUAACCCCAAUCAUUCUCCCAGGCAUGAGUCGAACCAGGGGACUCUUGCAGGCAAAGAACCCAGCAUGGGGGCCGCCGUAACCCAGGGGGACACCAAGGCGCUGGGAGGUCCCCACAGCUACAUCUAUCCCCAUCUCCCCUGGGGGCUGGAGGAUGGUGAGUGCCAGGAGAUCAGUAGCACACACCACCAUGGUCUGUUAGGGAGUGCCAUUGAUUAUCUAUGAGGAAUGUGAGGGUUAAAAACAUGCAGGUGAGGGAGUUAUGUAUAGGAAAAUGAGGAGUGGAAGGAGGGGGUAUAGGAAUAGGAGGAGAAUAGUAAAAGAAGGUAGAAAGAGGAUAGGAGAUGAAGUGAAGGUGUUGGAUGAGAGGAGGUUUAGAGAGGAAAGAAGGGAGAUAAGGAGAGGAGAGGAGAGGAAAAGAGAGAGAGGAUGUAGAUGAUAGGAGAGGAGAUGAAAGGAGAUGAGAAGGAAAGGAUAGGACAGGAUAGGAGAAGAGAGAAAAGAAGAGAGGAGGAUAGGAAAGGAAAGAUAUGAGGAGGAGAGGACAGGAGAUGAUAGAAUAGGAUAGCAGAGGAUGAGAGGAGAGGAUAGGAAAGGAAGGAGAUGAGGAGAGGAGGUAGAUGAGGAAGAUGAGAGGAGAGGAGAGAAGAGAGAUGUAGCAGUGCUUUCAGGAAGGUCAUUUCAUGUAUAUUUGAGUAGAUCAAUAUCUGUGUGUGCGUGUGCGAGAGAGAGAGAGAGAGAGAGAGAGAGAGAGAGAGAGAGAGAGAGAGAGAGAGAGAGAGAGAGAGAGAGAAAAACAGAAAGAUAAAUAGACUGAAAGACAUAUAGAUAAAUAAUGCAAUGAGAAUGACAAACAAACUGAAUAAAACAAAAAAACGCUAACAAACACACACACACACACACACACACACACACACACACACACACACACACACACACACACACACACACACACACACAAACAAGCAAAC